GAACCUGCGGAAGGAUCAUUACUGAGAGGGGUUUUCGGACCCCGGGGGCCCCGGCCCCCAUCUCUUCACCCUAUGUUUACGUACCUUCGUUGCUUUGGCGGGUCUUAGGGCUCGCCCCAUACCGGCUACGAGCCUAGUGCUCCGGUCGGCCCGUGCUCGCCAGAGGCCCAUCAAAUUCUGUUCACCAGUGACGUCCGAGCAAAAACACAAUAGUAAAAAACUUUCAACAACGGAUCUCUUGGUUCUGGCAUCGAUGAAGAACGCAGCGAAAUGCGAUAAGUAAUGUGAAUUGCAGAAUUCAGUGAAUCAUCGAAUCUUUGAACGCACAUUGCGCCCCUCGGUAUUCCGGGGGGCAUGCCUGUUCGAGCGUCAUUGCACCCCUCAAGCUCAGCUUGGUAUUGGGUCUUCGCCCCCACGGCGGGCCCGAAAGUCAGUGGCGGUCCGGCGUGACUUCGAGCGUAGUAAAUCUUCUCCCGCUUUGGAAGCUCGCGCUGCGGCCGGCCAUCAACGCCCAAAUCUUUCAAUGAUUGACCUCGGAUCAGGUAGGGAUACCCGCUGAACUUAA
rnacentral:rRNA from 1 species